GCCUGGCUGGCUCAGUCCGUAGAGCCUGAGACUCUUGAUCUCAGGGUUGUAAGUUCAAGCCCCAUGUUGGGUG
rnacentral:tRNA from 1 species